rnacentral:tRNA from 2 species
UCCGCAAUAGUUUAGUGGCUAGAAUUUCCGCCUGUCAGAACAUUUAAAGUUCAGCACGCGGGGGACCGGAGUUCAAUUCUCCGUUGCGGAG